rnacentral:rRNA from 1 species
CCUACGGGAGACAGCAGUGAGGAAUAUUGGUCAAUGGACGAGAGUCUGAACCAGCCAAGUAGCGUGAAGGAUGACUGCCCUAUGGGUUGUAAACUUCUUUUAUAUGGGAAUAAAAUGUUCCACGUGUGGGAUUUUGUAUGUACCAUAUGAAUAAGGAUCGGCUAACUCCGUGCCAGCAGCCGCGGUAAUACGGAGGGUCCGAGCGUUAUCCGGAUUUAUUGGGUUUAAAGGGAUCGUAGGUGGAUUGUUAAGUCAGUUGUGAAAGUUUGCGGCUCAACCGUAAAAUUGCAGUUGAAACUGGCAGUCUUGAGUACAGUAGAGGUGGGCGGAAUUCGUGGUGUAGCGGUGAAAUGCUUAGAUAUCACGAAGAACUCCGAUUGCGAAGGCAGUUCACUGGACUGCAACUGACACUGAGGCUCGAAAGUGUGGGUAUCAAACAGGAUUAGAUACCCGGGUAGUC